rnacentral:rRNA from 1 species
CGAAACUGCGAAUGGCUCAUUAUAUAAGUUAUCGUUUAUUUGAUAGUACCUUACUACUUGGAUAACCGUGGUAAUUCUAGAGCUAAUACAUGCUAAAAAUCCCGACUUCGGAAGGGAUGUAUUUAUUAGAUUAAAAACCAAUGCCCUCCGGGGCUCCUUGGUGAUUCAUGAUAACUCCUCGAAUCGCACGGCCUUGCGCCGGCGAUGGUUCAUUCAAAUUUCUUCCCUAUCAACUUUCGAUGUUUGGGUAUUGGCCAAACAUGGUUGCAACGGGUAACGGAGGGUUAGGGCUCGACCCCGGAGAAGGAGCCUGAGAAACGGCUACUACAUCCAAGGAAGGCAGCAGGCGCGCAAAUUACCCAAUCCCGACACGGGGAGGUAGUGACAAUAAAUACUGAUACAGGGCUCUUUUGGGUCUUGUAAUUGGAAUGAGUACAAUUUAAAUCCCUUAACGAGGAACAAUUGGAGGGCAAGUC